rnacentral:lncRNA from 1 species
UCUUAGUAUGACCCAUCGAGAGCAUAAUUCAGAGAAUCUUAAUUUAUGUCGAUGGCUAUGUGCAUUACUUGUUGUUCACUAAUUAUGAUCAUAUCCAAAUCACUAGAACUCGGUGCCCAGAUGUUUGUAGAUCUAAAUUUGGAUAGCAGAUCCCUGAGCAUGGACCAUACGGUGAGGAGACACUGCAUGUGUACAUGUAGUACAUUCUUAAUUGUAGUUACUCGUAUUGUGUUAUUGACUGUUUUGUUAAGGAUUUUAUAGGUUGGCGAAUUUCGUAAAGUUGAUUGGAGUCUUGAAGAGUUGAUUGCAGAAGUUUUGAAAAAAAGAUUCAAAUUGAAGAACAAAGACUCAUUCGGAAAGCUCGACACCUAAGGUAUAAAGAAAAGAUCAUUUGUGGUGAAUAUACCUAAUUAGAAUAAGUUCAGAAGGCAUAGAUGGCUUUAAAACUACUUUACUGAACUUUUCUGUGUUCAGGGACCGGUCCCUGAGGUCAAGAGACCGGUUCCCCUAAGGUCCUCACUGCGUGAACCUUGAUGCAACCGGUCCCCUGUGAUGAGAGACCGGUUCCCGAACCAUGGUGUUUCUGUCGCGCAGCAAGGGACCGGUCUCAAGCUUGAGAGACCGGUUCCCGAACGUUGGGAUUUUGGUCACGCAGUGAGGGACCGGUUCCUCACUUGAGAGACCGGUCUCUCACAGACCGGUCUCCUCGAGAAGACCGGUCUCUGAGGACGACACAGGUUUUUAAAAAGGACUUUUUGCAAUCCUAGUCUACUUCUAAGUCUUCUAAACAUAUAAAUAAGCUAUGUGGGUCAUCUAAAAGAAUAAGGCUUUGAAUAUUUACUGAUUCUAAACCCUAGAAACUUAUUUUUCUCCGUUUCAAUGCUUAGAUUCACAUAACGAGUUUCUAACAAUCAACAAUCGGCUUGAUUCUUCGUUUUUACUCGAUAACUCAUACGAGAAUCAAGUAGAUGUUUGAUUAAAGGUGAACCCUCAUAGCUUAUGGUAUUCAAAGGUUAAAUCAUCACAAAUCUUCGAUUCUACAAGCUCCGGAAGGAGGUUCGACGCGUGGAUCUCGCGUGAAGCCGAGGAUUCGGUAGACGCUUCGAGGAAUUGAGGCGUUGACGCUGCGAGAAGUUGCAGCAAGGUCGAUUGGUGGAUUCCUAUCGAUCGGGGACCGGCGAAGAUCACCAUCAAUAAGAAAUCGGUAAAUUGAGUUGUGUAUUUCUGUCAAAAU